CCUACGGGAGGCAGCAGUGGGGAAUAUUGCACAAUGGGGGAAACCCUGAUGCAGCGACGCCGCGUGAGUGAAGAAGUAAUUCGUUACGUAAAGCUCUAUCAGCAGGGAAGAAAAUGACGGUACCUGAGUAAGAAGCCCCGGCUAACUACGUGCCAGCAGCCGCGGUAAUACGUAGGGGGCAAGCGUUAUCCGGAUUUACUGGGUGUAAAGGGAGCGUAGACGGCAGUGCAAGUCUGGAGUGAAAGGCGGGGGCUCAACCCCCGGACUGCUCUGGAAACUGUACGGCGGGAGUGCAGGAGAGGGAA
rnacentral:rRNA from 1 species